rnacentral:rRNA from 1 species
GUGGGGAAUUUUGGACAAUGGGCGCAAGCCUGAUCCAGCAAUGUCGCGUGCAGGAAGAAGGCCUUCGGGUUGUAAACUGCUUUUGUACGGAACGAAACGGUCCUGGCUAAUACCCGGGGCUAAUGACGGUACCGUAAGAAUAAGCACCGGCUAACUACGUGCCAGCAGCCGCGGUAAUACGUAGGGUGCGAGCGUUAAUCGGAAUUACUGGGCGUAAAGCGUGCGCAGGCGGUGCUGUAAGACAGGCGUGAAAUCCCCGGGCUCAACCUGGGAAUUGCGCUUGUGACUGCAGUGCUGGAGUGCGGCAGAGGGGGAUGGAAUUCCGCGUGUAGCAGUGAAAUGCGUAGAUAUGCGGAGGAACACCGAUGGCGAAGGCAAUCCCCUGGGCCUGCACUGACGCUCAUGCACGAAAGCGUGGGGAGCAAACAGGAUUAGAUACCCUGGUAGUCC